GUCUCCGUAGCUCAGUGGAUAGAGCAUUGGUUUCCGGUACCAAAGGUCGCAAGUUCGAAUCUUGUCGGGGACACCA
rnacentral:tRNA from 1 species